CCUACGGGUGGCAGCAGUGAGGAAUAUUGGUCAAUGGACGAGAGUCUGAACCAGCCAAGUAGCGUGAAGGAUGACUGCCCUAUGGGUUGUAAACUUCUUUUAUAUGGGAAUAAAAUGUUCCACGUGUGGGAUUUUGUAUGUACCAUAUGAAUAAGGAUCGGCUAACUCCGUGCCAGCAGCCGCGGUAAGACGGAGGAUCCGAGCGUUCUCCGGAUUUAUUGGGUUUAAAGGGAGCGUAGGUGGAUUGUUAAGUCAGUUGUGAAAGUUUGCGGCUCAACCGUAAAAUUGCAGUUGAAACUGGCAGUCUUGAGUACAGGAGAGGUGGGCGGAAUUCGUGGUGUAGCGGUGAAAUGCUUAGAUAUCACGAAGAACUCCGAUUGCGAAGGCAGUUCACUGGACUGCAACUGACACUGAGGCUCGAAAGUGUGGGUAUCAAACAGGAUUAGAUACCCUUGUAGUC
rnacentral:rRNA from 1 species